AUGAGAUCGAGAGCCACGGGAACUUGCUUCCUGGCUCUCCAGUUCAUCCUAUUCUUCACUUUCAAUAUUGCCGGCGUCAGUCCUCUGUCCUUCAAGCUGAAUUUCACCGAAUCCAACUAUACUGCGUCCACCGCAAUCAAGUUCCAGGAGGAUGCCUUCUACAACAAGGGGAUCAAGCUGACCAAGGACGAGCUCAAAGACGAGAUCACUAACAGUGUAGGCCGAGCAGUCUACGCCGAUCCAGUGCUCCUCUGGGAUACCACCACUGGUCAGUUAGCCGACUUCUCAACCCACUUCACCUUCAGGAUAACUGCCACAAACUUAACCGCAACCAACAAUCCAUACGGUGAGGGCCUAGCCUUCUUCCUCUCACCGUACCCUUCGGUGGUUCCCAAUAGCUCCACUGGUGGUUUUCUUGGCCUCUUCAGCAAUGGGAGUGAUCAGAAUGACCCAUCCAAUGAGCUCGUGGCUGUUGAGUUCGACAGCCACAAUAACACAUGGGAUCCAAAAGGCGACCAUGUGGGCAUCGACAUCCAUUCAGUUGUAUCCGUAGACAAGGUGUUGUGGAAUAGUAGCAUUAAUGAUGGUCGCAUAGCCAAUGCGUGGGUAAGUUACCAGGCCAGCUCCUUCAACUUGAGCAUCUUCUUGACGUACCUGGAGGAUCCACAAUUCAGUGGCAACUCCACCUUAUCUUAUUCAGUUGAUCUCAGAAAAUACCUCCCAGGCAAAGUGGCCAUUGGCUUCUCAGCUGCCACGGGUAGAUUUGUUGAGCUCCAUGAGAUACUUUACUGGGAAUUCAAUUCUACGGAUUUGCAGCUGAUGAAGACUGAGAAGAUGAGAAGUGUACUGGUCAUAAGCUUGGCUACUACCAUAAGUGUCAUGGUAUGUUCUGUGUGCUUGGUUUGGUGCCUUCUGCAUUUUAGGACUAGGAGAUCAAGAAAUGAGAAACAAAAGAAGCUAGGGUAUCAUGAGUCCAUUGAUGGUGAAUUUGAAAAAGGGAGUGGCCCAAGAAGAUUUCGGUACAAUGAACUUGUGGCCGCCACAAGGAACUUUGCUUUGGAGAGGAAGCUUGGAGAAGGAGGAUUCGGCGCAGUCUACCAGGGCCUUUUGAAGGAUCAAAACCUCGAUGUUGCCAUAAAGCGAGUGGCAAAGGGGUCUACACAGGGAAGGAAGGAGUACAUAUCUGAGGUCAAGAUCAUCAGCCGGCUGAGGCAUCGCAACCUUGUGCAGCUUGAGGGCUGGUGUCAUGAGCAUGGAGAGUUCUUGCUUGUCUAUGAGUUCAUGCCAAACAGGAGCUUGGACACACACCUCUAUGAUAACAGUAAUUUGCUAACAUGGCCAUUGAGGUUCAAGGUCACCGCAGGUGUUGCAUCUGCCCUCCUGUACCUCCACGAGGAAUGGGAGCAAUGUGUCAUUCACCGUGAUAUCAAACCGAGCAAUGUCAUGCUUGAUUCUGCAUUCAAUGCCAAGCUUGGUGAUUUUGGGCUCGCGCGGCUCAUUGACCACGACCGAGCCUCGCAAACUACAGUGUUAGCUGGGACAAUGGGUUACAUGGCUCCAGAGUGUGUCACCACUGGCAAGGCAAUCAAAGAAUCUGAUGUCUACAGCUUUGGGAUUCUUGCAUUGGAGAUUGCAUGCGGAAGGCGACCAGUUGUACUAAAGGAAGACGAUGACAAGAUCGUAUUGGUUCAGUGGGUAUGGGAUCUCUAUGGAAGAAACAAGAUUCUUAAUGCAGUUGACAGCAGGCUUGAUGGCACAUUUGAAGAUAGAGAGGCAGCGUGUUUGAUGGUCGUCGGACUGUGGUGUGCACAUCCAGAUUACAAUCUCCGACCUUCGAUUCGUCAGGUCAUAAGUGUACUGAAGUUUGAAGCACCAUUGCCAAACCUUCCCCCGAAGAUGCCAGUGGCCAUGUACUUUGCACCGCCAAUUUCUCUGUGCAGGUUUUCAUACACCUCAUCUGAUGGGACACUCAAGCAGCAGGAGCUGGAGAGGUCCAAUGGUUAUGGAAAAACAAGCUCAUCCACUGCAACCAAUGCAUCCAGUUCACCUCCUUCUGUGCGGUUGCCAGAGGUGGGCUACUAA
rnacentral:rRNA from 1 species